GGAACAGCGGUGAACGGGGUCUGAAGUUCAACUGUGCCGUGGCGUCUUCUCCGCGGCCAGAUCUGAGUGCCUCGCAGCAGCCGAAGGCGGGUUUGCAGGUUGCGUUGCGCUGGCCCUGCCCUCGGCAGGCAGAACCGGAUAGAGCUCGGACAGGCGCCGUCACUCCCAGAUUGCUCUGCGUCCUUGGCAGAGCCACUCCUCCUUGUAGGCUGAAAGCCAAAGCUCUUCAUCUUUUUACAACUCAGAAAAAAAAGACAAGGGUGCCCUCUGUCUGGCCUUGCCACUGUUCAACCUGGUACUUGCAAGUCUUGUCCAGUGCAAUGGGAUGAGAAAAGUGAGUGAUAGAAGGAUUGGAAGCAAAAUGACAGCAUUGUUAUUGUCAAGUGAUGAUCAUCGACAUGGAAAACAAGAAUCAACAGAAAAAUUAACCUAAUGAGAGAGUUGCACAAAGUAAAAAUUCCAGCCCAUUUGUUUUGGAACUUGAGAAACUUGAUUCUUAACGUUUAUGGAAGAAUAAAAAUCCAUGAUCUGCUAAGACAAUCUUGAAAAAGGACAAAGGGAACUCUUAUUCAACAGGCAUUGAAACGGAUUACAAAGGCAUAGUAAUUAAAACAAUGUGGUAUUGGUACAGAAAAACAGCACAGACAAAUGGAGAUUCCCUGACUUUUAAAAACAAAACAAAACAUUUUUCAAUAAUGGGACAGCAGUCUAGGGGCCUUUCAGAAGAAACUGAGGACCAAAGGAUGCAACUGAGUGCUGUCAGCUCAAGUGGCAAAUGAAGUCAUCAGCUCCAGGGUCUUGCUCUGUCACCCAGGUUAGAGUGAAGUGGCAUGAUCUCGGCUCGCUGCAACCUACGACUCCCUGGUUCAAGCAAUUGUCGUGCCUCAGUCUCCUGAGUAGCUGGGAUUAUAGGCGUGCACCACAUCCAUCUAAUUUUUGUAUUUUUAGUAGACAGUGUUUCGCCAUGUUGGCCAGGCUGGAGUCAAACUCCUGGCCUCAAGUGAUCUGCCUGCCUCGGCCUCCCAAAGUGCUGGGAUUACAGGUGUGAGCCACUGUCCCGGCCUGAGCCACUGUGCCCGGCCCUGGCUAAUUUUUAAAUUAUUUGUAGAGACAGGGAUCCCUCUAUGUUGCUCAGGAUGGUUUUGAACUCCAGUGCUCAAGUGAUUCUCCUGCCUCGACCUCCCAAAGUGCCGGAAUUACAGGUGUGAGCUACCACGCCCAGCCAGCUAUGGUUUUUGUAACCUUGUUUUGGCAUUUUUUUUCUGACUCUUCAAAGAAUAUUUCGGCAACUUCAGAGUGGCCAGGCAGGAAGUCCAGAACUGGACAACUGAGAAACCAUUCCCAUUUUGCAAAUGAGGAAAUAGAAGCACAGGAAAAUGGAGUUGAUUGUUAGUUCUCGGACAUCCUUUGGCGCAGACUGGAGGAUCUCAAUGAACAUGA